AAUUGAUACAAUUAUUUCUAAGGAACACAUGACACGGGUGUGUGUGGGGGGGUGUAGGACAGAAGAAAAAAGGCAGAGAGAGACUUGCCUCUGUUGUGAGCUAUAGAACAGAUUAUUCAUAAACAUCCUUCUUGUCUGCGAUGUACUGUACAAUCUCCUCAGGAGUCAUCAACUUCUCUGCUUCUGCAUCUGGGAUCUCAAAACCUGGAGGAGAAACAUGCGCCAAAUCAGAGAUCUUCUGGAGACGAGUCUUGGCGAGCAAAGGAAUUCAUUUUGACGCUCAACGUUUUUUUCUGGAUUGGACCGUAAUGAUGAUGAGGUCUUUGGACCAAAAAUAUGGGGAGAAACUGCAGGACAUCGGUCGUACAGCUUUCUCGCCACCGUUCAAAAGAAACUCAUCCACUUCACCUCUGGGCUCACUUCUGUACAACAGUAAGACUUCU